UGUUAAAAAUUCAUUCAAUAUUAUUGUUAAAAAUUCGUAUAGUUGAAGGAAUAACCAAACAAUUAACGUGACACGUAUCUCAUACUGACGUACAUAAAUCAAAUUUUAAUAGUAAAAAUGGAUAAAAUUUUUAACA
rnacentral:pre_miRNA from 1 species